rnacentral:rRNA from 1 species
AAGGCCCAGAAAGCCAGGAUGUUGGCUUAGAAGCAGCCAUCAUUUAAAGAAAGCGUAAUAGCUCACUGGUCGAGUCGGCCUGCGCGGAAGAUGUAACGGGGCUAAACCAUGCACCGAAGCUGCGGCAGCGAACGUAUCACUUAAAGCGAUUCAGCGGGUUACGAUUGACGGAGCGAAGCGACGUCAAAGCGUAUACAAAGUCGAGUCGGUUUAAGGAUACGUUCGUUGGGUAGGGGAGCGUUCUGUAAGCCUGCGAAGGUGGCCUGUGAGGGUUGCUGGAGGUAUCAGAAGUGCGAAUGCUGACAUAAGUAACGAUAAAGCGGGUGAAAAGCCCGCUCGCCGGAAGACCAAGGGUUCCUGUCCAACGUUAAUCGGGGCAGGGUGAGUCGACCCCUAAGGCGAGGCCGAAAGGCGUAGUCGAUGGGAAACGGGUUAAUAUUCCCGUACUUGGUGUUACUGCGAAGGGGGGACGGAGAAGGCUAUGUUGGCCGGGCGACGGUUGUCCCGGUUUAAGCGUGUAGGUGUGUGUUCCAGGUAAAUCCGGUUCACUUUAACACUGAGGCGUGAUGACGAGGCACUACGGUGCUGAAGCAACAAAUGCCCUGCUUCCAGGAAAAGCCUCUAAGCAUCAGGUAACAUCAAAUCGUACCCCAAACCGACACAGGUGGUCAGGUAGAGAAUACCAAGGCGCUUGAGAGAACUCGGGUGAAGGAACUAGGCAAAAUGGUGCCGUAACUUCGGGAGAAGGCACGCUGACACGUAGGUGAAGUGAUUUACUCAUGGAGCUGAAGUCAGUCGAAGAUACCAGCUGGCUGCAACUGUUUAUUAAAAACACAGCACUGUGCAAACACGAAAGUGGACGUAUACGGUGUGACGCCUGCCCGGUGCCGGAAGGUUAAUUGAUGGGGUCAGCGCAAGCGAAGCUCCUGAUCGAAGCCCCGGUAAACGGCGGCCGUAACUAUAACGGUCCUAAGGUAGCGAAAUUCCUUGUCGGGUAAGUUCCGACCUGCACGAAUGGCGUAAUGAUGGCCAGGCUGUCUCCACCCGAGACUCAGUGAAAUUGAACUCGCUGUGAAGAUGCAGUGUACCCGCGGCAAGACGGAAAGACCCCGUGAACCUUUACUAUAGCUUGACACUGAACAUUGAGCCUUGAUGUGUAGGAUAGGUGGGAGGCUUUGAAGCGUGGACGCCAGUCUGCGUGGAGCCGACCUUGAAAUACCACCCUUUAAUGUUUGAUGUUCUAACGUGGACCCGUAAUCCGGGUUGCGGACAGUGUCUGGUGGGUAGUUUGACUGGGGCGGUCUCCUCCUAAAGAGUAACGGAGGAGCACGAAGGUUGGCUAAUCCUGGUCGGACAUCAGGAGGUUAGUGCAAUGGCAUAAGCCAGCUUGACUGCGAGCGUGACGGCGCGAGCAGGUGCGAAAGCAGGUCAUAGUGAUCCGGUGGUUCUGAAUGGAAGGGCCAUCGCUCAACGGAUAAAAGGUACUCCGGGGAUAACAGGCUGAUACCGCCCAAGAGUUCAUAUCGACGGCGGUGUUUGGCACCUCGAUGUCGGCUCAUCACAUCCUGGGGCUGAAGUAGGUCCCAAGGGUAUGGCUGUUCGCCAUUUAAAGUGGUACGCGAGCUGGGUUUAGAACGUCGUGAGACAGUUCGGUCCCUAUCUGCCGUGGGCGCUGGAGAACUGAGGGGGGCUGCUCCUAGUACGAGAGGACCGGAGUGGACGCAUCACUGGUGUUCGGGUUGUCAUGCCAAUGGCACUGCCCGGUAGCUAAAUGCGGAAGAGAUAAGUGCUGAAAGCAUCUAAGCACGAAACUUGCCCCGAGAUGAGUUCUCCCUGAGACUUAAAGUCUCCUGAAGGAACGUUGAAGACGACGACGUUGAUAGGCCGGGUGUGUAAGCGCAGCGAUGCGUUGAGCUAACCGGUACUAAUGAACCGUGAGGCUUAACCUU